UACGAAGGGGGCUAGCGUUGUUCGGAAUUACUGGGCGUAAAGCGCACGUAGGCGGACUAUUAAGUCAGGGGUGAAAUCCCGGGGCUCAACCCCGGAACUGCCUUUGAUACUGGUAGUCUCGAGUCCGGAAGAGGUGAGUGGAAUUCCCAGUGUAGCGGUGAAAUGCGUAGAUAUUGGGAGGAACACCAGUGGCGAAGGCGGCUCACUGGACUGGUACUGACGCUGAGGCGCGAAAGCGUGGGGAGCAAACAGG
rnacentral:rRNA from 1 species